CUGAGCACCAUCUUGAGGGAGAUGAAGGGUACCAUGUUUGGUUCCAGUGCCAGAGAGGCCACCAUGAUGAACCUCAACCUGCUGAAACAGAAAACUUCCUCUGCACUUGGCUGCUUCAUAACACAUGCUGCAGAUAUGAUGUAACCUUAAUUUUCCUGUGAUUAACAAUGGUGGGUCACCACCAGAGAGAUCAUGACAUUAUACCGAUAUUGCUUUCCUCAUGUGAUACAGCUUUUUAAUUUUUUUACAGGUGCUUAAACUUUCUACAUGUUUUGUGGUUAACACAGUCUGUCUUUGCAAGGCAGGUUUUUCUGUUACCCUUUUUCCUUUUUUUUUUUUUUUAAUAUAGAUGUAAACUGUAAACUCCACAUUAACGUAUAAGAAAUAAAGUAUA
rnacentral:lncRNA from 1 species